CAUUAGAUGGCUGAAAGUAAGUGCCGGUCUCUUAAACCGUUUCAUAAUAGAUCUACGACUAUUUCUAAUG
rnacentral:tRNA from 1 species